rnacentral:tRNA from 1 species
GGAGAGAUGGCCGAGUGGCCGAAGGCGCUCCCCUGCUAAGGGAGUAUACCUUGAUCGGUAUCGAGGGUUCGAAUCCCUCUCUCUCCGCCA